rnacentral:rRNA from 1 species
GACGAACGCUGGCGGCGCGCUUAACACAUGCAAGUCGAGCGAGAACCGGGACUUCGGUCCCGGGGACAGCGGCGAACGGGUGAGUAACACGUGGGUAAUCUGCCCUCGAUUCUGGGAUAGCCCGGGGAAACCCGGAUUAAUACCGGAUAGCCUUUCGAGCCUUCGGGCGCGAAAGAAAAGGUAGCUUCGGCCUCCGAUCGAGGAUGAGCCCGGGGUGGAUUAGCUUGUUGGUAGGGUAAAGGCCUACCAAGGGGACGAUGGUUAGCUGGUCUGAGAGGAUGAUCAGCCACACUGGAACUGAGACACGGUCCAGACUCCUACGGGAGGCAGCAGUGGGGAAUUUUGCGCAAUGGGGGAAACCCUGACGCAGCAACGCCGCGUGAGUGAUGAAGGCUCUUGGGUCGUAAAGCUCUGACAGAGGGAAAGAAGUGUAUGGUGGUUAAUACCCAUUGUACUUGACGGUACCCUCAAAGGAAGCACCGGCUAACUCCGUGCCAGCCGCCGCGGUAAAAC